rnacentral:rRNA from 1 species
AUUGAACGCUGGCGGCAGGCCUAACACAUGCAAGUCGAACGAGCGGCGGACGGGUGAGUAAUGUCUGGGGAACUGCCCGAUGGAGGGGGAUAACUACUGGAAACGGUAGCUAAUACCGCAUCCCAUCGGAUGAGCCAAUAUGGGAUUAGCUAGUAGGUGGGGUAACGGCUCACCUAGGCGACGAUCCCUAGCUGGUCUGAGAGGCUGACCUGCCACACUGGCACUGAGACACGGUCCAGACGCAUACGUGAGGCAGCAGUGGGGAAUAUUGGACAAUGGGCGCAAGCCUGAUGCAGCCAUGCCGAGUGUAUGAAGAAGGCCUUCGGGUUGUAAAGUACUUUCAGCGAGGAGGCGUUACUCGCAGAAGAAGCACCGGCUAACUCCGUGCCAGCCGCCGCGGUAAUAC